CCUACGGGUGGCAGCAGUGAGGAAUAUUGGUCAAUGGACGCAAGUCUGAACCAGCCAUGCCGCGUGCAGGAAGACGGCCCUAUGAGUUGUAACCUGCUUUUGUACGAGGGUAAACGCAGAUACGCGUAUCUUUUUGUAAGUAUCGUACGAAUAAGGAUCGGCUAACUCCGUGCCAGCAGCCGCGGUAAUACGGAGGAUUCAAGCGUUAUCCGGAUUUAUUGGGUUUAAAGGGUGCGUAGGCGGUCGGAUAAGUUAGAGGUGAAAUCCCGAGGCUCAACUUCGGAAUUGCCUGUGAUACUGGUCGUCUAGAGAGUAGUGGCGGUAGGCGGAAUGUAGGGUGAAGCGGUGAAAUGCUUAGAGAUCAGACAGAACUCCGAUUGCGAAGGCAGCUUACCAAGCUACUUCUGACGUUGAGGCACGAAAGCGUGGGGAGCAAACAGGAUUAGAUACCCUAGUAGUC
rnacentral:rRNA from 1 species